rnacentral:rRNA from 1 species
AUUGAACGCGAGCGGGAUGCUGUACACAUGCAAGUCGAACGGGAUGGCGGACGGGUGAGUAAUAUAUCGGAACGUGCCCAGUAGCGGGGGAUAGGUACUAGAAAGAGUGGCUAAUACCGCAUACUGUUGGACAGGCGCAUAGCGGAUUAGCUAGUUGGUGGGGUAAAUGCUCACCAAGGCAACGAUCCGUAGCGGGUUUGAGAGUACGACCAUGCACACUGGCACUGAGAGACUGCCCCGACGCCUACGGGAGGCAGCAGUGGCGAAUCUUGCACAAUGGGUCAAACCCUGAUCCAGCCACCCCGCGUGCAUGAUGACGGCCCUGCGGUUGUAAAGUACGUCCGGCAGAGAGUCGGUAUCUGCAGAAUAAGCACCAGCUCACUACGUGCCAGCAGCCGCGGUAAUUC